AUUGAACGCUAGCGGGAUGCUUUACACAUGCAAGUCGAACGGCAGCGCGGACUUCGGUCUGGCGGCGAGUGGCGAACGGGUGAGUAAUGUAUCGGAACGUGCCCAGUAGCGGGGGAUAACUACGCGAAAGCGUAGCUAAUACCGCAUACGCCCUACGGGGGAAAGCAGGGGAUCGUAAGACCUUGCACUAUUGGAUCGGCCGAUAUCGGAUUAGCUAGUUGGUGAGGUAACGGCUCACCAAGGCGACGAUCCGUAGCUGGUUUGAGAGGACGACCAGCCACACUGGGACUGAGACACGGCCCAGACUCCUACGGGAGGCAGCAGUGGGGAAUUUUGGACAAUGGGGGCAACCCUGAUCCAGCCAUCCCGCGUGUGCGAUGAAGGCCUUCGGGUUGUAAAGCACUUUUGGCAGGAAAGAAACGGCGCGGGCUAAUACCCCGUGGAACUGACGGUACCUGCAGAAUAAGCACCGGCUAACUACGUG
rnacentral:rRNA from 1 species